rnacentral:tRNA from 1 species
GUGUGCGUAGCUCAGCAGUUGGAGCAUCCCUCUGGAUUGAGGUGGUCAUGGGUUCAAAUCCCAUUGCAUACA